UUUCCGUAGGUGAACCUGCGGAAGGAUCAUUAAAAAAUGUGGUACCAAUUAUUGGUACUAUUAAUCAUCCUACCCUUUGUGAUUUGUUUGUAUGAAUUUUUUAAAUGGGUCUUUCCCUAAGUUGGAUUGUUAGUAAAAUACAAAAAGACUUAGGGGAAUGACUUUUUUAAAAGACUUUUUUUUAAUUAAAACUUUUUGUAUUCAUUUGUCUAAAAUUUAUUUUUAUAAUAUAAAAACAACUUUUGACAAUGGAUCUCUUGGUUCUCGCAACGAUGAAGAACGCAGCAAAAUGCGAUAAGUAGUGUGAAUUGCAGAAUACGUGAAUCAUCGAAUCUUCGAACGCAUAUUGCACUUUUUUAGUUUACUAAAAAAGUAUGUCUGUUUGAGUAUCAGUAAAAUAUUCUCACAAAAACAAUUUGUUUUUUGUGGUUAUGAGUGUUUUACAACGAUAAACAAGUUGUUUCACUUUAAAUUCUUUUUAAUUGAAUUUUACCAAUUCAUAAAUUAAAAUUGGAUAAAAUUUUCCUUUAACGAGGAAUAACCUAAACAAUUUUAAAUUUUAUGGAUUAAUAAACAUUCAUCAAAGGAAUCUAUACAACAAAUAACUUGAUCUCAAAUCAGAUAAGAGUACCCGCUGAACUUAAGCAUAUCAAUAAGCGGAGGAAAAGAAACUAACAAGGAUUCCCUUAGUAACGGCGAGUGAAGCGGGAAGAGCUCAAAUUUGGAAUCUUCAAGGUUUGACCUUGACGAAUUGUAGUUUAUAGAAGUGUUUUCUGUUGGAGUUUUGGUAAAAGUUCUUUGGAAUAGGACAUCAUAGAGGGUGAGAAUCCCGUAUUUGACCAUGACUUUCCAGCUGUGUGAUACACUUUCAAAGAGUCGGAUUGUUUGGGAAUGCAGUCCAAAAUGGGUGGUAAAUUUCAUCUAAAGCUAAAUAUUGGCGAGAGACCGAUGGCGAACAAGUACCGUGAGGGAAAGAUGAAAAGAACUUUGAAAAGAGAGUUAAACAGUACGUGAAAUUGUCAAAAGGGAAGCGUUUGACACCAGUGUUGUUUUCUCGAAAAUCAAUUUAAUGAGUUCUUGUUUUUAAGUUAUUGUGACUUUAUCAGCGCAUUUCUUAUUUUACUUGACUCAUUGAAUGCACUUUUCGUUUAACAAGUCAACAUCAAUUUCUUUGGUGGUAAAAAGUUUAAAGGAAGGUGGCUUGGACUUCGGUUCAAGUGUUUAUAGCCUUUUUUCUAUGCCAUCGGAGAGAUUGAGGUCUGCAGCGUAGAUCCUUCGGGGUUAGAUACCUUUGUGCUAAGUUAUAGUUUUUUAUAGACAACUUGUUGACUAUAAUUAACCCUGUAAUUUACUCGCUUAGGCUAUUUUACCUACGCUUAGGAUGUUGAG
rnacentral:misc_RNA from 1 species